AUUAAAUAGGUGUCAAUAAUUAUAGAAGGUCAGAACCCUCAUUUGACAGUAUCCUAAUAAGAUCAGACAGAUGGGAUUUAGCAAUUCUAUUCUGUUAACAUGCCUGAAGCUUCCCUUUCUGAGGUCAGAGUUCAAACCUGUCAUGGGUUCAGAUGAAUUGAACUAGAAAAAAAAAAAAAAAAGAAAAGAAACUCCUCAAUCAGGCCUCUCUUAUGAUUAUUUGCCAGGACGGACACUCUUUGGAUAGGUGUUGGAAAAUGUUAUGUAUCUAAGUCUUAUUUAGAAUGACAUGAUGUGUGAUCCAACAGUAACAUGUUAUUCAAAAUUGUUCAUCUGUAGUGAAGCCUCUGGGAUUUUAAAAAUAUUGGGAUGAUAAAAUAAUCAUGCUAAAAUUCUUAGCAUUUUUAAGGAAAGGAAUUCCAUCUGAUCCACAUGGAAGUAUGAUGCCAUCCAAGUAACAGGGUCAUCUUUCCCUACUGAAGAAGUGUGUUAAACACCAAAAAUAUGUGAUCAGAAUUGGGCUCAGAGGCUCAUGUUAAAUAAUGAGAAGCAACACUUGAGUAUGACAAGAUAGCAGGUGGUCUGUAUGUCAGAAAUUGAAACAGCGAAUCCUUGAGAUCUAAAAGCUUAUGUUUGGGGCACCAGUUCU